CUUUAACAUAAGUCGAUAUCGCAAAAAAAGUAUCAAAAAUGAAGUUAAGUAUAACUAUUUUUUUGGUUUUUGCAAUUUUUGCAGCAAUCAUUGGUGCAACUCCAAAGCACGGCAAAGAAGAAAAGAGACUACUCGGUAUAGCGGAGGGUAUAAAGGAGAAAUUGUGCAAUAUAGUAUGUUCUGAUGUGAUGGCAUCUGAAUCCCCAUCUGAAGGGGGAGCAAGUGGUCCAAGCAAGAAACAUAAAAAGCACCACUAAUUAAAAUCAUGGUUGUAUUCAGUUUAUUGAAAAGUGUAGUGCAUGAAGUUUUAUUUUGGUAAUCAAUAUUGCAGCUUAUAGUUGUAUUCUUUGUGUUAAUUGUUUUGAAUUCAAUAUCUGUACGUUUCUUUUUUAAUAAAUGAAGACCACAAAUCAAAAUUA